GAGGCUGUAGCUCAGUGGUAGAGCACUUGCCUCAUAUGCAUGAGGCCGUAGGUUCGAUCUUCAGCACCA
rnacentral:tRNA from 1 species